UACGUAGGUGGCAAGCGUUGUCCGGAUUUAUUGGGUUUAAAGGGUGCGUAGGUGGGCUAGUAAGUCCGUGGUGAAAUCUCCAAGCUUAACUUGGAAACUGCCGUGGAUACUAUUAGUCUUGAAUAUUGUGGAGGUAAGCGGAAUAUGUCAUGUAGCGGUGAAAUGCUUAGAUAUGACAUAGAACACCGAUAGCGAAGGCAGCUUGCUACACAAUCAUUGACACUGAGGCACGAAAGCGUGGGGAUCAAACGGG
rnacentral:rRNA from 1 species